AUUGAACGCUGGCGGCAGGCCUAACACAUGCAAGUCGAGCGGAUGAAGGGAGCUUGCUCCUGGAUUCAGCGGCGGACGGGUGAGUAAUGCCUAGGAAUCUGCCUGGUAGUGGGGGAUAACGUCCGGAAACGGGCGCUAAUACCGCAUACGUCCUGAGGGAGAAAGUGGGGGAUCUUCGGACCUCACGCUAUCAGAUGAGCCUAGGUCGGAUUAGCUAGUUGGUGGGGUAAAGGCCUACCAAGGCGACGGUCCGCAACUUGUCUGAGAGGAAGGUCAGUCACACGGGAAGUGAGAAAGGGUCCCGACUCCUAGGGGAGGCAGCAGUGGGGAAUAUUGGGCGAUGGGCGAAAGCGUGAUCCAGCGAUGCCGGGUGUGUGAAGAAGGUCUUCGGAUUGGAAAGUGCUUUAAGUUGGGGGGAAGGGCAGUAAUUUAAUACCUUGCUGUAUUGACGUUACCAACAGGAGAAGCACCGGCUAACUUCGUG
rnacentral:rRNA from 1 species